rfam:Ictidomys tridecemlineatus contig100295, whole genome shotgun sequence.
AUCCUUUUGGUUCAUAAGUGUGAUGAUUAUUGGGUGUUCACGUGGCUGGUGUGGGAGAUGUGCCUUGCUCUACACCUUGUCACUACAUCUGCACAUUAUUUAUCUGUUG